UGGAUGUGUAGAAUUUUGAGAAAUCAACCAUUCAGAAUCUUCUUCAGCUUCCUGAUUUUCCAGCUGAUCCGCACUGAAGAUCCAAUUAUGUUCUUCCUCCUCCUCUUCAAUUGGUUCAGGAUUAAGCUCAGCACAAUCACAAAAGAUCUGGAAGAGAGUAUCCACUUGACUAGGGUCUGAUGGCACAAGUCUCAACUCAGUGAUCCUUGAUAAAUCUGAUGACACAUCACCCUCAUCACAGGAACCUUCUGAUUCGUCAUCCUCCACUCCGUUGUCAAUCUGAGCAUAUAAACAAGGAUCCCGAUAAGCCUCGGGGUCUCUAGAGACAGCAUGAAGUGAAACAGACAGGAAAUCAACUGCAUAACCUUUACCCCUAUCAGUAUCGCUUAGCCACACCACUUGCUUGGAGGUGAUAUAGAGAGUGCCAGGAGACUCAGGAGGGCGGCUGCCGAGGACUAUGGCAGUUCCAGGUUGAACAUGCAUGAGUUCCUCGCCGUUGUCGGUGUCGAGGAAUGGCUGUCCAGCUCCAUCACCGGUUCUUUCAGCGACGAACUUCAAGCCUGACAUAUUUUCCGGCUAGUCGUUG
rnacentral:misc_RNA from 1 species